GAAAAUAAACCUAACACUAACAAGGAUCAUCAACAAAGAAAAUGACAAAUAAGCAAAGGGAGAUGAAGAUUAUCUUUACUCUGUCUUUUUAGUAUUUUUGUAUUACUAGUGGAUCUACAAUACUAACACAAACAGGAGUCAAUAUCAAUUAAAGCUACAAGACAAGGACACAUUACUAUCAAACAUAAACAGAGGGAAGAAGCGAGAAUAUAUGAAAAAACAUAAUUGUUUCAAAUCAAACACACACACACACAUUUAUAUAUCACAGGUACAUAGCUAAUACAGGGACUACAGAACACACAAAACCACACAUAUGCGAACAGGAUACUACACCAUGGUUCAGGUUACACAAGAGACAACAGAAACAAAAUCUAACAAGCCACAAGAUUAGUACCCACAGAUCAACACAACACUAUUUAACAAGUAAAAAUUACUAGUAGAAAUUAACUAGUACAGCGAGAGGAAAUACACAGGGUGAACACAUAUAUAUGCCGACAGAACACAUAUUACCAAAGCCAAAAUGUUAGACAUCACUUAGUUUCGAAAGAAAAGAAAUCCACUAUUUGGAACAUAGAAUUCAUGACAUGAUAUUUAACAAGUACAAACUGAUCAAACUAGUUGGUUGCAAACACUUAUCAAAAUCUGAAACUUAAAAGUCCUACACAACUCCUAUUACAGAAAAUUCAGAGUACAUUAGCAAGAAAAGGGAGAGAUUCAAAGAUUAAUUCCCAAUCAAUCUUCAGGCUUGCAGCUGUAGAUGGUGUAGGUGAUGGAGAGGAUCAGCAGGGAGCGAGUUGGAGAAGGAGAGGUACAGCAGCAGAGGGCAGAGCAGCAGCGAGGUAGGGAGAAGAAAGAAACAGCAGCGUGAUGAGGGGAGGAGCAGCAGCGUGAGAUAUCAGCAAGGGGGCGCAGUAGAAGAAGAGAAGCAGCAGCAGUUUUGUUAUUCAGAAUGGACUAUGAGCAGCAGCAGGUUUGUGGUUCAGAGAAGACUAGGAGCGGCAGCAGUUGAUGUUCAGGGAAGAAGAAGUCUAGCAGCAACAGGAUUUGAGGAGAGGGAAGAAGUAGCAGGGCAAAGGAAGAAGGAGCAGGAUCAGGAGCAGCAGCAGGGGGUGAUGGUGGAGAUGCGGCGCUGGUGGCGGCGCUGUUGGAUGGUGCGUGAGGGUGCUGGGCGACGCAGCGACGCGAGGUGGUGAGCGGUGCUGGUGGAGAUGGUGGUGGCUUGCGGGGCUGAUGGAUGAAAGGCGCACCACCGCGCCGGCUUGGCCGUGGCGGCGGCCGGAGCUGGAGAAGGAGAGGUGAGGGAGAGACAAAGGUGUCGCCAGGCCCAAAGGGGAUCGGGCUGCAGCUAGGGAUUUUGAUCCUCUCCUCAGAUCUGUACUUUUGCACUUUGGCCCUUCUACUUCUCUUCCUACUUCACAAGUUGAUCCCUCCACUCUUUCUUUCUUGCCCUUGUCUUGUUCCUCAAUACUUUCUAGACAGAAACUUGUAGAUUAUAGUGCCUUGUCGCACUUUUCUGCAAAAGAAACACAAUGACUAGUAAAUGAUUCAUUAUAUGAUUUUCAUGCAAAUAUUCAACUAAACUUAGCAAGAAUAGAUGGGCAUAACUCGACGAAUGGUAUAACUCAAUGCCAAAAUUAUGUAUAUGAAAUGUGCUUAUCAAGGUCCCACACACUUAAAUCUUUGCUUGUCCUCAAGCAAAGGAAUAUGACAAGAACUAGAUAUUGAAUUGUGAGCUGACUAGAGAAUGUCCAAGUGAAGUAGAUCUCUAAACAAUGCAUGCUUUGGACUUAGCUAAUGAAAAUUAAUGGUCAAGAGUGCUACAAAGCAAUAGGAUACUAGUAGACUCAAUCAUUUUAAACUUUUACAAUGAUAAAAGUGGAUCAACAAGUUCAAAUGAUGAUUGUGCCAAAAGGUUCCUAAAGAGAGCAUGAUCCCAAGAACAAAGCUUGUGAUCAGAUCACUUAUUGCCAGGAACACAACAUUGUGGUUGAACCACUUAUUGAAUUUGAAGGAAGCAAAGAUAUUAUUUUAUCAGUCUCACCAAAGGAACAUACCACCGAUCCCGAGAAGAUGGUAUACACCUGGCUCAACCAAAUAUUAGUUUUUUUUGUUUGUCUCCCCAAAGGAACAUACCACCGAUCCCGAGAACAUGGUAUACACCUGGUUCGACAAUUACAUGUUUUUAUUAAUAAUUACUGCCCAAGCUAACCCGAUUUCACAUGCCACCAAUCCCGAGAACAUGACAUUCUACUAUAGGUAGUCAAACUAAUUUAUUCAUUAUUACUAAUCUUAAAUGAACAACGCAUAAGCACAAAAAUAGGAAUCAUCACUUCUCCAUGUCUGGUUCACAUGCUACCGAUCCAGGGAACGUAGCAUGCUAAUCCAUAGUGGUUAGGUGAUUGCUCUCAAUGGGAACACAUUAGGCACAAACUCAGCAUCUGACACUUAAUGAUCUAGGUGUAUCAAGGUAAAAGCAGAAAAUGAUUAAGUUUUCUAGUGUACUAGGGAUUUGAGCACUCAAAACUAAUAGCUUUCACUAAUUUCAGCAAAGCAAGCAUUGUGUAGAUUACUAGGUUACAAGGCAUUCAACACUCACUUCACAUAUUCACAUCAAGCACCAUAUGUCAAAUAAAAUUCAGUGGGGCAACAUUUAAGGCAUGGCUUAAGCAACCCAAAUAACAUUUGAUUUCAGCAUGUAUCAAUGGAUGAUAUACUCGGAAUAGGUCAUGAAACAGCUCACCGGGUUUUUAUAGGACGUAGCACUCGCUCGACACUCUCUAAACUGUAACUCUUCUCCUUUGCUUCCUCGUGCAUUGUUACUCCUCUCCUUUUGCUUCCCUAUCCUCAUGCCUGCUCCAGCUUCUCUCUUCAUGUGUGCUCCUUACUUCUCCUCAUCGCCAUGCUCUGACUCCACCAGGAUCCCAAGGGAUGUCACCUCGAACCUGGUCAGCAUGUAUUGAUUCAUGCACAAGCAAAAACCUGAAAUAGGACUCACACAAACAACAACUACAAGUGAUAGGGUAGAUGCCCUCUAAAUCAUCAAUAGAGUACCCAAUUACAUAAGCAUAGCUAUAAAGCACAUGUUUAGAAUGGUAGAAAUCAGUAAGCUCAAUGCUAGCAUGAAGAUGAUAUGAAUCAUUAAGCUCCAGACUAACAUGAGAAUGACAUGUUUCAUUAAGCAUGGGUCUAGCAUGAGGAAAAUAAGUGUAAUCGUAACAAAUGUGAGCAAUGCCAUGAACAUGGUAUAUAUCAUCAUAUCCAAGCAAAUACUUUCUCAAAUCUACCUUAAUUGAUGGUAUUAUGUAAUGCAAGGUAGAAGCAAAUAAGUCAUAGGGACGCAUGUCAUCAAGAGGAUUAGAUAAACCUUCUACAUCACGCUCUUGUAUGACAAUAGGCAAAUGAAUUUCUGGUUCUUCAAGUUCAUCUACAACAACUUCUUUUGCUUCUUCAAGAGUAGUAGAUGAUGAAUCUUCAACUUGAUCACUUGGUUGUUCGAGCUCUGGAUCAUCUUGUUCCUCCUCUUCGAGUAUUUCUUCUUCAAGUUGAGAUCUCUCUUCCUCUGGAUCUUCUAUGGUGCUACUACCAGCAACACCUAAUUGAGUCUGAAGUGUCCCCAUCUGUGAAUAUGCACUAACAUGAUCUGGUAGGGGUGCUGAGAUCACUACCUCGCUGUCUUUCUGAGCAAUAUUCUCCUCAUCACCAUCACUGCUAAGUUUCAACACUGACACUGAUGACUUCCACCAGUCAUGCAGCUCAGCAACACGUGGGAUCUUCUCAGGAUAUUGAAGUAUCAACUCUUCUAAAUUUGACUCAACUAUCUCUCUCCUUGGAAUGUCUCCGACUUGCUUAGAUGUAUGUGCAGGAGUUGGAAUCUCAUCUUCACUAUUCUUCUCUAAGAUACUCUCUUUAACUGAGAUAGAGGCAACCACCGGUGGAGCUAAUGAUUUCUUCUUGACAAAUAUCCCAGAUACAGUUGUAACACAAGUGUGGGCAAUUGGUGCCACGACUAAAUUCCACGAGUCACAUAGUUGACUAACACAAGUGAAUUUCUCCAUAUCUUGCUGUCUCAACUUAGCAUCAAUCAGAGUAGGUUCCUCAUAAACAUCUUCUUGCAACUUUGACUCAAUCUGGACAGUUUCAUUGCCAUGAGGUAUUGGAUCUGCUACUGUGGUUUCCAUCCGAUCUACAAUGGUUGCAUCAUCUUGAAAAAUAUCAUAAUCAUCAUCAAGGAUACUUGAAGUAAGAUCAAUCUUUCUACAUGGAGGAUCUAAUUCAGCUCUGAAAUGUUGUUGUCCCCGGAAUGGAACAUGCUGGUUUUGAAUAUUAGGCACCAUGGAUGAUUUCUGUUCACUUAUGGAACACACAGCUUCUGAUUGCAGAUGGCUUGCAACCUUCGGAUUUGAACUAGGCCUUUCACAACCCCAUUGCAUUUGGUGGAAGGCAAUGCUCUCAAUGAGAAUAAUUGCACCCUCAACGGUCUUGUUCAUGAUUGUUCCACCAGCUGACAUAUCAAUAAGAUCUCUCGAAGCAUGUGUCAUCCCUCUAUAGAAUAUCUGGAGCACUAACCAAUCCUUUUGCCCAUGAUUAGGACAUUUUCUAAGCAAAUACUUAUAUCUCUCCCAAGCUGCAUACAAGCUCUCACUUCCAUCUUGCGCAAAACUGAGGAUCUGGUCACGAAUUGCAGCUUGCUUGUAAAGUGGAAAAUAUCUGUGCAGGAAAGCUUGUGAAAUAUCACCCCAAGUGUAUGAUCUUGAUGGCAAAGAAUAGUACGAGUCCUUAGCAGCAUCUCUGAGAGAGAAUGUGAACAGCAUACACUUGAUAGCAUCUUGGGAAACCCAUGGUACUGGACAGUAUUGGCAUACUCCAGGACAUUACAAAUGUGCUCAUGAGGGUCUUCAUUGGGUAAUCCUCUAAACUGAUUCUGCAAGACGAGAGCAAUAAGUCCAGGCCUCAACUCAAAAUUUUCGGCCUCAAUAGAUGGCCAAAUUGGCCCUGUCAUCGUGCCCAAACUACUUGGCAACCAAAGAUCACGUACUAAAGCCAUAUGUUCAAGCGCAACUGUCAAUCAGCCUACAAAUAGUAAGAUAUCCUACACACGCUCACAAACAUCAAGCUCUGGUGAGAGGGUUAGUAUCCUAAUAAGCCGAAGCAACAAAAAGUAAAAAGGUAAAAGAAACACAGAAAUAAAUUUGACUGGAAAUUUAAACAAGAACUAUACUAAGCCUAGUCUAAAGCUUCACACAAUCGCUCGAUGCUAGUCCCCGGCAACGGCGCCAAAAUGAUCAAUUGUAAGUGUAGCGGGAUUUUUACGCCCAAACUAUGAGUGUCGUGUUCUCCACAGGGACUAGGCGACGACAAGUACGUUCGACUAAAGCUAGGUGACCCAAUUGAAUGAUGAGAAUAGAAAAUAAACCUAACACUAACAAGGAUCAUCAACAGAGAAAAUGACAAAUAAGCAAAGGGAGAUGAAGAUUAUCUUUACUCUGUCUUUUUAGUAUUUUUGUAUUACUAGCGGAUCUACAAUACUAACACAAACAGGAGUCAAUAUCAAUUAAAGCUACAAGACAAAGACACAUUACUAUCAAACAUAAACAAAGGAAAGAAGCGAGAAUAUAUGACAAAACAUAAUUGUUUCAAAUCAAACACACACACACACACACAUUUAUAUAUCACAGGUACAUAGCUAAUACAGGGACUACAGAACACACAAAACCGCACAUAUGCGAAUAGGAUACUACACCACGGUUCAGGUUACACAAGAGACAACAGAAA
rnacentral:lncRNA from 1 species